ACUCCUACGGGAGGCAGCAGUAGGGAAUCUUCCACAAUGGACGAAAGUCUGAUGGAGCAACGCCGCGUGAGUGAAGAAGGGUUUCGGCUCGUAAAAACUCUGUUGUUAAAAGAAGAACAUAUCUGAGAGUAACUGUUCAGGUAUUGACGGUAUUUAACCAGAAAGCCACGGCUAACUACGUGCCAGCAGCCGCGGUAAUACGUAGGUGGCAAGCGUUGUCCGGAUUUAUUGGGGCGUAAAGCGAGCGCAGGCGGUUUUUAAGUCUGAUGUGAAAGCCUUCGGCUCAACCGAAGAAGUGCAUCGGAAACUGGGAAACUUGAGUGCAGAAGAGGACAGUGGAACUCCAUGUGUAGCGGUGGAAUGCGUAGAUAUAUGGAAGAACACCAGUGGCGAAGGCGGCUACCUGGUCUGCAACUGACGCUGAGACUCGAAAGCAUGGGUAGCGAACAGGAUUAGAUACCCUGGUAGCUCGAUG
rnacentral:rRNA from 1 species